UCAAAACUUUGUAGAUUGUGUGACAGAUAACGAAUUACAUGGAUAUGCGAUUUUUGCUCGGUAAUAAAUUGUAACUGACCAACAAUCAACUGUCAAUAGCUAGGUGCUGAACAUUCAUCUCUGGUCUUUCAGCGCCCGUCCCAGCAUUGGCAGCACCACCGUCCACCACCAUCACCGCCGGCCUCAGGACCAAGCCCACCACCAGCGGGCGUUGACGGAGGCGGGUGUGCGGCUCUGGCGCAGCUGAGCCGUCGACCGCCGGAGCCAAUCCGGCAGUCCGGCAUUUCAGCUGCCGCACACUCGCCCGUCACAGGAUCAGAGGCCUCCCGAGACAGCUUCCCGUUUCCGACCGGCUGAGACGGCUCCCGUCCCAGCAUUGGCAGCACCAUCACCAGCACCGCCGGCCUCAGGACCAAGCCCACCACCAGCGGGCGCUGACGGAGGCGGGUGUGCGGCUCUGGCGCAGCUGAGCCGUCGACC